CGGUUCAAUUUCUUGUUUUUUUGAAAUGAACCGGGCACUUAUGAGACUUUUGAAUCCAUUUUUUGGAGCACAAAAUACUUGUUUUUCACUUUUAGAAUUCAUUCUGAGCAAAAGGCGCCGAAAUAGGUAUCACUUAUAAGUUAUGAGGGGUAAAUGGGGAAAUUACCCUCAAAACAUAACUUUGUUAUGUUUCACAAACCCUAACCCCAUUUUCACUUGCAGGGGGCGAGAGGCGAGAAGGAGGCGACCCUAAACCCAAUUUCAGUUGCAGGAGGCGAGAGGCGAGAGGCGAGAGGCGAGAAGCUCUGCUCAACAGAAGGAGGCGAGAAGGAGAUGUCCAGAACAGCAAAUCGGAUUCUGCAAUUUCACAAGGCGAUGGUUGCAGGUCCAGCCCUAGUUUCAGAGAGAGAUUUUUCCACAGGAAGGGUGAUAGAGAUAGGGCUUUUCAAGUGUUGGAAUCACUUGGGGGCCAGCUUUCUUCGACCAUAACCAAAAGGCAAACAGGGAUCUUCCGGGAUCCUUUUCUCAGUUCAUGUUCUGCUGUGGGUAUGAUGGACAGUAGCCAGGCAAGGUGUGACUUGCAUUUCUGGAACUUCAAUUGAAUUAAGGGAGAACGACAAGAGAUGGGAGAAGAGAAUUUCUGGGAGGAGAAAGGAGGGGAGCACGCACUGCAGCCAUGUUUUCAAACCAAAAAAACUUCAUAGAAUUCUCAAUAUCAAGUCUCAUCAUUGGGUACAGUAACACUAUUUAAAGACAAAAGCAACUGGAAUUGGGGGAUACUGAAAUUUCAGAAGAGCAACUACUGGUCCCUUUGUAAAUGAUAGCUUUCUUUUGCCCUCUUUUUUCUUUCCAAAUUUUUUGUCAUAUGUAGGCUGUGACACACUGCUUCAAUUUGUCUUUCUUGAUUAUUAGCAAAUGGAAGAACAAUUCAAAACAUUCAUUGUCCUGUCACACUAUUUGGAGACAUCAAGAUUCCGCCAAUUCUGGCUUUCGGAGUUAUAAUGUUUUCGAGAGCAACUGUGAAGAUUUUGCAAUUUACUGUAAGACCAGUCUGCUUGUUGUUGAACAAGGAGCAAUUGGCCAUAGUGGUCAAGCAACAUCAAUAAUAGGUGGGUCUGUCUCUGCCAUCUUGGCAACACCAUUGUGCCUUCUUACCACCAAUGUGUAUGGGAUAGUAGCAACAGGGAUUGGGCUCUACUGUCGAAUCCGGUAUGCUACAGAUAUUGGCAUGAGGAAGGAAGUGGAGAAGGUAGCAGUGGAAGAUCUCAGUAAGUUUCUACCAAGAAAAUAAGAUCUCAGCAAGUGAGACUUGAUUUUCAUGAACAAUGUAUGUGAUACUGGGCUUGUUCCAUGGGUGGUCUUUGAUCAAUAAAUUGUUGGAAGCUGUGGUUCCCAACA